rnacentral:rRNA from 1 species
GACGAACGCUGGCGGCGUGCUUAACACAUGCAAGUCGAGCGGUAAGGCCCCUCCGGGGGCACACGAGCGGCGAACGGGUGAGUAACACGUGAGCAACCUGCCCCUGACUCCGGGAUAAGCGGCGGAAACGCCGUCUAAUACCGGAUACGACCCUCCGGCUCAUGCCGUGGGGGUGGAAAGUUUUUUCGGUUGGGGAUGGGCUCGCGGCCUAUCAGCUUGUUGGUGGGGGAAAGGCCUACCAAGGCGAUUACGGGUGGCCGGCCUGAGAGGGGGACCGGCCACACUGGGACUGAGACACGGCCCAGACUCCUGCGGGAGGCAGCAGUGGGGAAUCUUGCGCAAUGGGCGAAAGCCUGACGCAGCGACGCCGCGUGGGGGAUGACGGCCUUCGGGUUGUAAACUCCUUUUACCACUCACGCAGGCUCCCAGUUCUCUGGGGGUUGACGGUAGGUGGGGAAUAAGGACCGGCUAACUACGUGCCAGCAGCCGCCGUAAGAC